UGCUCUCGAAGGCUUCUGUACUCUUGCAUCGGAAAUCAUCUCCUUUUCUUCUCCAUCCCUUUGUCUCUCCUAACUUAUUGCAUCACAUCAGCACCAGCUGGCUGUACCCCAUAUUAGAGGAAGAUGGGGCCCAGCCAAUGAUUGCUUCUCUGAACUAAGCUGUACCCUGGUUAUGCUGGAACUCAACCUCACCUGUAUACGGGUGAACCAUAAGAUGGUCCUUGCUACAUCACUAGCCUUCCCUUAUCUAGCAAGAAAAACCUGCUCUUGAUAGUCUGCUGAAUAGUGACUGAGAUGACUGGCAGUAAAAUAGGAGACUUUUCAAGUGGAUGAAAGUUAAAUUCAAUAGGUGAUGCUGUGAACCCUCCCCAAGGGAGGUACCAAAAGCCUGCAUGAAGCAAAAACUGGAAACAAAUAAAGGAGAGUAUGGUGACUUUGCACUAAGUUACUCAUUUAUUCACAUAAUUAAUGAGUUUCUAUUAGUGUUAGGCACCGUUCUAGAUGAUGGUAUAAUUAGUUAACAAAAACCUCAAAACUCUCGCCCCCCAUGGAGCUUACAUUUCCAGGGAGGGAGAGAGAUGAUACAACAAUAAGAAAAUACAGAGCUAAUGUCAUUCUAUAUUGUAUAAUUAUGUAAAAUCAAGCCUGAGUAUUUGACAGCUUCUCAGAUACCACAGAUCUGUUGUUUAAUGAAAUCAGCCUAAAAGAUAAAAUUGUGUAUUUGCAUGUACACAUCACCUUGCCUGUAUUAUGAGUCAGCGUUUCUUCUUAUAAGAAACCACAGCUUGGUAAAAGGUAGAAGCUCAAUUUCCUAAUAAAGAGAUAUGUUUUACUAGGCAGGCUGUUGCACUGCAUAUUACUCUCUCUGACCUUGGCUUUAGUCCAAGGAGGAUUAAACCCAGAAAGAGAAGGGAGUAAAGCAAGGUGUAGCAGAAAAGCAAAACAAAACAAUACAAAAUAACCUCAAAGAAAUUAGUAACAAUAAUUAGUGCAUUCAGAGAUUAUAUCUUUCUUUCUUUUUUUCCUUUUUUUUUUUCUUUCGAGACGGAGUUUUGCUCUUGUUGCCCAGGCUGGAGUG